GAUUGCUCUGGUGGCCUAGUGGUUAGAGUAUCAACAUUGGGUGUAGGAGGUCACAGGUUCAAUCCAUGACCAAAUCA